AUUGAACGCCGGCGGCAUGCUUAACACAUGCAAGUCGAACGGAAACGAUGGAGCUUGCUCCGGCGUCGAGUGGCGGACGGGUGAGUAACGCAUGGGAAUCUGCCUUUUGCUGGGGGAUAACGUAGGGAAACUUACGCUAAUACCGCAUAAGACCUGAGGGUGAAAGCGGGGGACCGAAAGGCCUCGCGGCGAGAGAUGAGCCCAUGCUGGAUUAGCUGGUUGGUGGGGUAAAGGCCUACCAAGGCGACGAUCCAUAGCUGGUCUGAGAGGAUGAUCAGCCACACUGGGACUGAGACACGGCCCAGACUCCUACGGGAGGCAGCAGUGGGGAAUAUUGGACAAUGGGGGGAACCCUGAUCCAGCAAUGCCGCGUGUGUGAAGAAGGCCUUCGGGUUGUAAAGCACUUUCAGCAGGGAGGAAAGGUGCGUAGUUAAUAGCUGCGCAAUUGACGUUACCUGCAGAAGAAGC
rnacentral:rRNA from 1 species